rnacentral:rRNA from 1 species
UACGUAGGUGGCAAGCGUUGUCCGGAUUUACUGGGCGUAAAGGAUGCGUAGGCGGACAUUUAAGUCAGAUGUGAAAUACCCGAGCUUAACUUGGGUGCUGCAUUUGAAACUGGGUGUCUAGAGUGCAGGAGAGGUAAGUGGAAUUCCGAGUGUAGCGGUGAAAUGCGUAGAGAUUAGGAAGAACACCAGUGGCGAAGGCGACUUACUGGACUGUAACUGACGCUGAGGCAUGAAAGCGUGGGGAGCAAACAGG